GAGGGUAUAGCUCAGUGGUAGAGUGUCUGCUUAGCAUGCACUAGUUCCUGAGUUCAAUCCCCAGUGCCUCCU
rnacentral:tRNA from 1 species